CACACAGAGUAGCUACGAGCCGGCUCGCGACAAGCUCCACAACAGACUCGCCCGCAGCGCAUCAGCGCCGCGCUCACAAAGCCUCAGACCACUGCCAAAAAGGCCACCUUGAUGGGCGAAGCUACCGAACGAGCCACAGGUGUUCCUCAUCAUAGCUGCCUCUUUAUAUUCACACCUGUGGCAACAGGAGGGCGUUGUUUGAUUGACCUUCAUGGACUCAUGCCACAAGACAUCGUCAUCUUUCCAGACGCAUUCUUGCUGCCCGUCUUCAUCCUUAACUUACACGGUAGAUAUACCUGUAUACUGUCUUAUUUUAUUGCCUUCCUGCCAGUUCGGUAGCUUCUCCCAGUUAGCCCUCCCGUUUGGUGUUUGGUAACUUUAUGUUCGGUUCCCUUCCUUCGUGGUGCUAUUUUGUUACUGUUUGCCCUGCACCAUAGAUUUUUGUUGUUACCCCUUUUUUCUUCUUUCUUGCUGCGGUGAACGAACUAUUAAAGGACUUCCUUUUUGACACCA